GGGGAAAGUGCUUCUCACGUUUCUGUCAGACCGAGAUAAGAAAUUUCACAGAGAAGGGACAGGGCGGGACAUGGGCGAGAGAGACCACCGUGUGCCGGGCUGUUGUCGGGAGAGGCUCUCGGGGCAGCUGGAACGGCAGCGGACCGGAAGCCCCGGCCGGCGCGGAGGCGGAGAUGGCAUUCCAGGCGGGGACACCCAGCGAAGGCGGAGAGGGAGGACCGAGCUGAGCGGCUGGAUCUGGGGACCGGGGACGAUGCGUGCUGGUACCGCAGGAGGGAAGCCUGGGCCCGGUGGUAAAGGACCUGUAUUCAGCAAACAGCGGGGAAACUUCCAAAAGAAUUGUAAAAGGAGCUGGUGGUUGUUGUCAGGUCUCUUUUUAGGUGUUACUGGAGACUUGAUAGAGGUUGUACAGAAAAAGGGAGAAAACCAGGGCCUGGAGUGGGGAGGAAAGGGACGAGAGUUUAUAGAGCAUUACUGAGUGUGUUGCACGUGUCACCUCAUCAUCAUACCACUAUUUAUUAAGCACUUACUAUGCUCAAGGCGUCCUGGCAAUUGAGGCUGCCGCCUUCCUGGCGGGCUGGUGGGGCUGGCCUGAUCUCGUGGCUAAGGGGAGGAGCAGGUAACUAGGUUUCUGCCUGAGGUGAGGCAAAAAGAGGAAGUCGAAGGUGUCACCUAGUGUGUCAGAAGGAUUAGUGGGGGGAAGGUGGUGAGGGCGAGGACAGAUGCCAGGGUAGAAGUCUCCCAGGGGGCUGAAGAACAGUGAGUGUUGGCCAGUCCCCAUACACCCAUAGGUCUACAUACGGAAGCUUCCUUGGAUGGUUGAAGUCUUGGACCCACAGGGUGAUGACUGCACGGGCAAGGCAGGAGCAGCUUUACUGGGACCUUCCUGCAGAGCCCUCCCCAUGCCUCGCCCUGGCCCACAAGCAGCCUAGGACGGCUGCUCUGAAGUGGUGCGUCUUGCUUGUCCUUCCAGGGGGGGCCACACCCAAAUGCCUACAGCACAGGAGCCAAGUGAGGCUGGGUAAGAGCACUGAAGGCCCAAGGCACACCUAAAAGGGCGGUUAGCUGACCAGCACCAUGUGGGAAUGAGGUCCCAGCCCAGCCAGAUCUUUCAAGAAAAUCUGGAAAUACAGUUUUAAAAAAUAGUUAAAUCUUUAAUGUGAAUUGUAAAUUUGGUUAUUAAUUCAAAUUGAAAGAGCUAAGCCCAGCAUGUCCAGGGACCCCAUGCAGCUCACUAGCAGCUGGUUUGUGAUCCCUGACAUCCUUUCUUUCUCUCUGACCCCAAAGUUGAGCAAGAUAAGAAUCUGAAACCUGGAUUAGUGCCCAAGGAAACAUGUUUAACAGCAUUUUCAUAUUUCAAAGUUCCCAGCCACAAGAAAAUUAAAGGAUCUUUCAGGUGACUUAAACAGAAAUUUCUGCUGCUUAAAAUCCCUCUUCCUAAACUUCCUGUUGCAGGUAAUAAUAAUAGCUCCUCUUCACCGAGGGACCUACUUUGUGGUUGGCACAGCUCUGAGUGUUUUGCCUGUGUUAACUCAUUUUGCAGUUGAGGAAACUGAAGCUCAACGAAGUUAAGUAACUUGCCCAAGGAUUCCCAGCUAGAAGUGGCAGAGCAAGGACUCAAACCAGAGUUCUGGUUUCAGAGCCUGAAGUCUUAACUAGAUGAGAACAAAACUUCCAGCUUUCUUAUGUGUACACUUCCCUGUGAAUGACCCCAGAACUCACUGCAGAUGGUGAGGGAAGAGGCGACUGAGUCCAAAUAAGGAAUGGGCUCAGGUGUGCGUGAGUCCUUGCUCCCUGCCCACACUUGCAGCUCAUGCAGGAAAAACAGUCCCUCUAACUAGAUGUCCACAGUCCAUAGGGCAGGUGCAGAAAGCAGUAGAGGUAGAAAUACUAAAUGACUCAGUCAAGUCCCCAUAGCUGGUCACUGGCAGAAGUAGCGAGGGCAAACAGGCCCCGCUACUGUUCUCAUGCCAGGCACUGUCUCUGCAGUCAAGCCCCAGAUUUACAAGACAGAUUUUAAGUGUAACUAUGAUUGGAUUGAGUUCUAAAUACAUGUACUAGGGGGACAGGAGGGACCUUGUAGUCUUUUAUAUGCUCAGGUGAUCAGUGCUUCCACCACAGGCUGAAAGAAGAGAGGAGAUUGCUGAGAGAAAAGAAUUUCCUGAUUGCAAAAGAGCAGAAAGGGGAUUCACUUUGGAACUCAAGACCACAAGCCAGCACCGGAACUGUUUCCUUAUGAAGAGCUGUUAUUGCUAAUCCCAAAGCCUGGGACACGUGCCAGAGACAUCAACACAGAGCUGCUGCCAAAGUCUCCGGCUCUCCGCACUCUCACUCCGGCCUGGAGAUGCUGGUGCCCUUUCCAGGAGGUUCUGGGAACCUCGACUGUGAGCCACUUGAAGAAUGUUAAGGGACCUGUCUUCUGCACUUCUGGUUCCUACCUACAGAAUCCAUGUGGGGGGCUUUGAUGCAGAAUAAAGGCAGAACACAUCAAAAUGCCUUUUAUACCUUUUGGAACCGGUGACCACUCAGCCUCUCUUCUCACCAGGACAGGUGUCAGGGAAGGUCCUGACCCUCACUGCACCCACCAGGUUCAUCCUAGGUGUGGAGACUCCUCACUGCUCAAGUGUGUACAUGGAGCAGCAGCAGCUGCUGGUACCUUGUUAGAAAUGCAGAAUCCCAGCCCCACCCAGACCGACUGAGCAGAAUCCACAGAUGCCCAGGUGACUCGACACAAGGUGGUUUGAGAAGCACAGUUGCACAUCUUCUCUUUUCUCCCUCUAAGACGGCCAGGUGGGUCAUCCUACCAGCCAGGUUGGGGCCUCCACCACACCCUACAUUCAGAUGUAGUUAACAUAUUUUGAACUGAGCACCUUUUUGAGGAAUUCCCCAUAUUAGGAGUCAUUCCUUCCCAAGGGCCCACAAGGUGACCAGGCGGUCUGCCAGCCAUUGAAGAGGACUUGCUUUUGCAGAGGCUUCCGAAAAGGACCAAGGGGUUCUUCCUAUUUGGCCUCCCCAUCCCUGCUCAGAUGUCUCUUCCCUGGAGAUGCCUAAAGCCUCCUAGGCACCCUGUCCUGGAGACAGUAACCUUGGGGAUCCAGCCAGAG